GCUCCCCUCCCGCCUCAUAACCACACUGCCGGCUCCCGCGCAGGCGUAUUGUCACCUGCAGGCCCUCAAAAGAAAGCUUCUCUUUUCGCCAUUUUGGUAAUGGGACAUGGGCUAUCGUGCCCUUGAAGUCCUCAGGCAAGAGCAGGAAGGAGCAAGAUGUGGUGAUGGAUGGAGCUGGUAGGCUGUCGGCGAUAGCGGUAUUCAUUGGGAUAUUGUACUGGACUAUUUGGUUCUGGCGUCAGGUGUGGCUGGACCAGGCCGCCAUAUUAGUAAAGCGAAAAGAAAAGCCAUUGCGACAAAAAACGACGCCUUUGGUGGCGGACUGGGUGGCUGCUAUUCCCACAUCACUCCCGCUCCCGACAGUUAAUUGUAGCCCGACCAUCCCUGCCUUGUAUGGUGACGGCACUGUGGGGUGUUCCACCUGCCUAUUACUACCAUCUUUUGAUAACUCUCCCUGAGAACUGUUCUUCAAGAUGAAGCCAAAAGCCGAGAGUCCGUAUAAUUGACCACGCCCAGCUGCCUGACUUACAGUGGACUCCAACUCCCAGUUUGCAAUGCGCAGAGGGGUCAAAGGGUGAAUGGGCGCGCUUUGCACUCUGGGAACAAGAAUCGCGAUAGUUCUGAUGGAUUAUGGGAGUCGUAGUUCCGUGUGCGUGUGGUGCUCCGUACUGUAGGGUGGAUCAGGGAGAGUGGUUUGCCCUCUGGGAAGGGAUACUUCUGAGAGCUGCCGAGCUGUGUACUGGGAUUUGUAGUCUGAACCCUCUCACCUCGAAUUCUGGGCGGAGAGUCAUGCUUCUGUCUCGGCGCUGGCCCCUCCCCUUCCCUUGGUAUACUACUCCAGACAGUGGAUGAAGCAAAUGAGGAGGGAGCUGCGUGGUUGUCUCUGACAAAAAGCGUUUAAUUAUCG
rnacentral:lncRNA from 1 species